rnacentral:rRNA from 1 species
UACAGAGGGUGCAAGCGUUGUUCGGAAUUACUGGGCGUAAAGCGCGUGUAGGCGGAUGAGCAAGUCUGCUGUGAAAGCUCCUGGCUUAACCGGGAGUGGUCGGUGGAAACUGCUCGUCUGGAGGACGGUAGAGGUAGGUAGAAUUCCCGGUGUAGUGGUGAAAUGCGUAGAGAUCGGGAGGAAUACCUGUGGCGAAGGCGGCCUACUGGGCCGGACCUGACGCUGAGACGCGAAGGCGUGGGGAGCGAACGGG